rnacentral:rRNA from 1 species
AACGCUAGCUACAGGCUUAACACAUGCAAGUCGAGGGGAAACGACAUCGAAAGCUUGCUUUUGAUGGGCGUCGACCGGCGCACGGGUGAGUAACGCGUAUCCAACCUGCCCAUCACUUGGGUAUAACCUUGCGAAAGUAAGACUAAUACCCAAUGACGUCUCUAGAAGACAUCUGAAAGAGAUUAAAGAUUUAUCGGUGAUGGAUGGGGAUGCGUCUGAUUAGCUUGUUGGCGGGGUAACGGCCCACCAAGGCGACGAUCAGUAGGGGUUCUGAGAGGAAGGUCCCCCACAUUGGAACUGAGACACGGUCCAAACUCCUACGGGAGGCAGCAGUGAGGAAUAUUGGUCAAUGGACGAGAGUCUGAACCAGCCAAGUAGCGUGCAGGAUGACGGCCCUAUGGGUUGUAAACUGCUUUUAUAAGGGAAUAAAGUGAGUCUCGUGAGAUUUUUUGCAUGUACCUUAUGAAUAAGGACCGGCUAAUUCCGUGCCAGCAGCCGCGGUAAUACGGAAGGUCCGGGCGUUAUCCGGAUUUAUUGGGUUUAAAGGGAGCGUAGGCCGGAGAUUAAGCGUGUUGUGAAAUGUAGACGCUCAACGUCUGCACUGCAGCGCGAACUGGUUUCCUUGAGUACGCACAAAGUGGGCGGAAUUCGUGGUGUAGCGGUGAAAUGCUUAGAUAUCACGAAGAACUCCGAUUG